ensembl:lncRNA
AUGUUUGGAAACGUCUCACUUCUAUUUUCUCCUUCUCCGUUCACGCUAGAUGACUCCCAGCAUCGCCGUGUAUGCAUCAGGGCACCCGGAGUGUCCCCACUCCAUUUUUAUAGAGACAUAGAAGCAUCUUCAUUAAUGCUAGAGGAGAGAGCAACCUGGCCUUCAGAACGCAUAUCAUCAUGCUCUCUCUGUCCUCCUCGGAAAAUGAGCCCGAAAACAAAACAAGUGGGUCCGAAAGCAAGGGGCGGGAGCUGCAUCCAGCCAAAGCCCAGCCUCUCCCUGAAGCCGCCUGGCCUGAUGGUGUCCCCUCUUCUUCCGGUGCCUACAGCGGAGCCCUCAGGACCGAGACCUGGGCCCAUCCUGCCUUCUGGGAGACUUCAGGCUGUGUCCAACGCACAACAUGGUGUUAUUCACACAGUCUGCUGGAGUUUGCUGGAUGUCUGCUUCAGACCCUGUUUGCCUGGGCAUCACUGCGGAGGCUGCGGAACAACAAAGAUUGCUGCCUGUUCCUACCUCUGGAAGCUUCAUCCCAGAAGGGCACCCCCCAGAGGCCAGCCAGAACUCUCCUGUAUGAGGUAUCUGUCAGCCCCUACUGGGAGGAGUCUCCAGUCUGGAUACAUGGGGGUCAGGGACCCACUGGAGGAGGUAGCCUGUCCUUUAUCAGAGUUCAGUGAUGUGGUUAGAGAACCGCUGCUCACUUCAGAGUUGUCAAGCAGGGAUGUUUAA